UGCAAAUCAAUAUAAAUUGAUUAUUAAUUAUUUAUUUAUUAAUUUUUAUUUUGUUAUUAAAAUUUAUUAAUAUUAAAAAUAAUUAUAAAAAUUUUUGUUUUAGUAAUUUUUAAUGAAAAAAUAUGUUUUAUAAUAGUUUAUUUGUAUUGUGAAAGGUUAUUGAAAUAAAUUGAAAAAUUUUUAUAUAAAAAGAAAAAUUAAUUAUUUGUACCUUGUGUAUCAGGGUUUAUUAAAUAGUUAAUAAUUAUUUAUUAAUUUCGAUUUUAUAAGAGUUAAUAAUUUAUGAAAUUUAAUGUUUUAAAAUUAUUUUAAAUAAAUUAUUUGAAAUGAAAUGUUAUUCGUUUAUAAAUAUAUCUAGUUUUUUUAGAAAUAAAUUUAAUUUAUAAAUUUUUAAUUUUAUUUAUUAUUUUUUAAUAAAUAAAUUUAUUAAUUUAAGUAUUUUUAGGGAUAAGCUUAAAAAUAAAGUUAUUAUAAAUAUAAGUUAAUUAAUUUAUUUAAUAUAUAUAUUUAGAAUUGAUAAUUGUUAUAAAGUUUGUUAUAAAUUAUUUCAUUAAAUUUAUAUAAUAUAUAUAUAUAUAUAUAUAAUAUAUUUAUUUAUUAUUUUUAUUAUUUAUUUAUAUUUUAAUUUUUUAUAAAAAAUUUUUUUUUAAUUUUUUUUAGAAAUUAAUAAUGAUAAAAUUAGUAUAUUAUUAAUGUAAUAAAAAUUUAAAUGAUAAGUUUAUGUAAAGAACUUGGCAAAUAUUUUACUCGCCUGUUUAACAAAAACAUGUCUUUUUGAGUUAUUUUAAAAGUCUAACCUGCCCAAUGAAUUAUUAUUUUAAUGGCCGCAGUAUUUUAACUGUGCAAAGGUAGCAUAAUCAUUAGUCUUUUAAUUGAAGGCUUGUAUGAAUGGUUGGACGAAGUAUAAUCUGUUUCAUAUAAAUUUAUUAUAGAAUUUUAUAUUUUAGUAAAAAAGCUUAAAUAUAAUUAAAAGACGAGAAGACCCUAUAAAUCUUUAUAAUUUUUAUAUUAUUAAUUUUUUGGAUUUUUCUUAUUUUUAUUUUAAUAACUAUUUUGUUGGGGUGAUAUUAAAAUUUAAAAAACUUUUAUUAUUAAUUAUUUCAUUAAUUUAUGAUUUUUUGAUCUUUUAUUAAUGAUUAUAAGAAUAAGUUACUUUAGGGAUAACAGCGUAAUUUUUUUGGAGAGUUCUUAUUGAUAAAAUAGUUUGCGACCUCGAUGUUGGAUUAAGAUAAAUUUUAGGUGUAGUUGCUUAAAUAAUAAGUCUGUUCGACUUU
rnacentral:rRNA from 1 species